UACGGAGGAUCCGAGCGUUAUCCGGAUUUAUUGGGUUUAAAGGGUGCGCAGGCGGGGGAUUAAGUCGGCGGUGAAAUUUUGCAGCUCAACUGUAAAAGUGCCUUCGAAACUGGUUUCCUUGAGUGUAGAUGAAGUAGGCGGAAUUUGUGGUGUAGCGGUGAAAUGCAUAGAUAUCACGAGGAACUCCGAUUGCGCAGGCAGCUUACUAAACUACUACUGACGCUCAGGCACGAAGGCGUGGAGAUCAAACAGGAUUAGAUACCCU
rnacentral:rRNA from 1 species